GCCCCGGUGAGCGAUCUUGUGCGCUCUCCGGAGGCGGGAGCGCAGGUUCGAAUCCUGCCGGGGCACCA
rnacentral:tRNA from 1 species